UGGGGUGCACGGGGGACGCGGUGUUGAGUGAGGUGGGGGUGGCUGUGACUUAGGGCACGCGUAGCCCUCGGGAUGCUCAGUCCGAGUUGCCACUCAGAGUGCUGGGGUCCUUCCCAUACCGAGUGCCACAGGACGGCCGCAGCACGGGGAGAGUGAGAGUGUUUUGUUGGGCGCCAUGAAGGCUCGGGGUGCUCAAUGGGGCUGAGCAAGUGGAUGCGCACAGUCAGCGUGCCCAUGGCUGCCAAGUCCCAUUUCCCAUUAUUUCCCAUUAUUUCCCUGGCUACUCCAUCCUCCCUACACGUUGCUGCUUCCCCAAGCAGGUGGUGGCAUCAUGGGAGCAUUGGCAUCCUGGGUGACACAGCUGGGGGGACACAGCCAUAUGGCAUGGCCAUUGGGACGCAGCCACGCUCAGCACUGGGCAACAGCAGUGAGCCCCCCUGGCACAUCCUUCUUCUCCUGCCCUUCCACCUUGCACAAAUCCACGUAUCCAUGCAAGACUGUCACAUAGUUUUGAACCUUGCUUCCCCACCUUUGUGUGUACUUCUCCACUCGGAAAACUCAGAAAGGAGUGCUACCUUUUGCUCAAAACAGCAGAGCCAUUGGCAGAUUGCAUUAACACAGGUGGGAUUACCUCCCUAGGAAGUCCCCAGCAAGUGGCUGCCGUGCCCACUGCUCACGGCAGCCUGAAGGCACAGUGGGAGGUGAUCUGCGCAGACCAAUCUGCUCAGGUGUCAGUGGAAAUGAGGGCAAGAAGCAGCUCUGCGGACCCUGCAGACCUCACCCACAGCAGCCUGGAGUUGCAGAGAACUCCCUCCUCUGCCAUUGCAGCCCUGAUCCUUGCUAGGCACUUGGGGGUCAACAGCAUUGUGAAAUGACAGAACUGUACUGUGCACCCACUGGAUGGUCUCUGAGCAAACUAUCAUGGCACUUCUUAAUGCAGUUGUACAAUGGAAAUGGUGAAGUGUAUCUGUGAGGUCUAACCUCUAGCAGAUCCUUUAUUUCAGGGUCCUCUUCACUGAUCACUGACUUUCGUUCUGAUUUUUAGCUUACUGUCCCAUCCAACAUAGAGAAUUAAUUGAUCUUCUCUUACAGAACCACCACAUGCAGACAGGAUACAGCACUCAUUUUUAGUCUCUGCCUAUUGAGCUUGCAUUCCAUUCAACACCUUCUGGAUGAUUUGCCCAGAGAAGCUGUGGGUGCCCCAUCCCUGGAGGUGCUCAAGGCCAGGUUGGAUGGGGCCCUGGGCAGCCUGAUCUGCAGGGUGGCAGCUCUGCCCACAGCAGGAGGUUGGAAAUGGGUGGGCUUUAAGAUCCCUUCCGACCCAACCAUUCUAUUAUACUAUGAUUUGCUCAGGGACAUACCCAUCACUGCACUGGGAACAGCAUCAGCAGCGCCAGAUGCAGUGCAUCUACUCCAUGGUAUGACGCCAUAGAGUGAGAGAAUAGGAACACAUCAGUGCUGCCAUUCACCUCCCAGUACUCUGGGAUGGGGCAACAGAGAUCAGGAAAUUAAUUACCAAAGGAAUGGCAGCCCUAUAAGCUGUAAAUGUACUUAGAGUAAUUUUUCUGAUGUUGCCUACUGCAAGAACUGGCGUGGAAACACUGCAGCAUGGAGGUUCCUUUCCCCAGGAGGCAAAAUGGGACCAGAGUUCCUAGGUCCGAAGUUCUUCAGACUCAGGAGGCUCUGAAUGAGAGCUCCUAGGGAGGCAAAAGUUGCCAGUCCCUGAGAUCACCACAUGUAACUGUGCAUCAACCCUUUUCCUGUCCUCGCCCAGCUCUUCCAGCUCCCUGUGCCCAGGCAGUGAUGGAGGCAGAGCCCUUCCCCUCCCUGUGCCAUCCCCACUGCAGCGGAACGAGCCCACCCUUCACAUUCUCCCAGUAAUGCCAAUCUCAGCAUCUCCCCACUCUGCUUGGUCCACAGAGCAGAGGGACUGAGGCUGUCAGAUAAACAGACAACAAAUAUUGCUGCAAGGGCCCCACCUCCACCCACUUGUAUGCAUGGUUCUGCACCUGCACUUCAAAAUUCCUAACUCUAACAUAAUGAUAAAUAGCCCUUGCCCUUUUCAUUGGGCUUUCUUUUCCUUUUCCUUUUCCUUUUCCUUUUCCUUUUCCUUUUCCUUUUCCUUUUCCUUUUCCUUUUCCUUUUCCUUUUCCUUUUCCUUUUCCUUUUCCUUUUCCUUUUCCUUUUCCUUUUCCUUUUCCUUUUCCUUUUCC
ensembl:lncRNA